AUUGAACGCUAGCGGGAUGCCUUACACAUGCAAGUCGAACGGAGUGGCGAACGGGUGAGUAAUGUAUCGGAACGUGCCCAGUAGCGGGGGAUAACUACGCGAAAGCGUAGCUAAUACCGCAUACUAUUGGAGCGGCCGAUAUCGGAUUAGCUAGUUGGUGGGUUAACGGCUCACCAAGGCGACGAUCCGUAGCUGGUUUGAGAGGACGACCAGCCACACUGUAACUGUGACAUGGCCCAGACUCCCACGGGAGGCAGCAGUGGGGAAUAUUGGACAAUGGGGCAAACCCUGUUCCAGCCAUCCCGCUUGUGCCAUGAAGGCCUUCGGGUUGUAAAGCCCUUUUGGCAGGAAAGCGGUACCUGCAGAAUAAGCACCGGCUAACUACGUGCCAGCAGCCGCGGUAAUAC
rnacentral:rRNA from 1 species